AAGGGAUUAGUUAAAUUAUAACAAUAGAAUGUCAAACUAUAAUUACUUAAAAUAAGUAUUCCUUG
rnacentral:tRNA from 1 species